CCUACGGGAGGCAGCAGUGGGGAAUAUUGGACAAUGGGGGGAACCCUGAUCCAGCGACGCCGCGUGAGUGAAGAAGUAUUUCGGUAUGUAAAGCUCUAUCAGCAGGGAAGAAAGAAAUGACGGUACCUGACUAGGAAGCCCCGGCUAACUACGUGCCAGCAGCCGCGGCAAUACGUAGGGGGCAAGCGUUAUCCGGAUUUACUGGGUGUACAGGGAGCGUAGACGGCGAUGCAAGUCUGAAGUGAAAGGCGGGGGCCCAACCUCCGCACUGCUUUGGAAACUGUAUGGCUGGAGUGCAGGAGAGGUAAGUGGAAUUCCUAGUGUAGCGGUGAAAUGCGUAGAUAUUAGGAGGAACACCAGUGGCGAAGGCAGCUUACUGGAAUGUAACUGACGUUGAGGCUCGAAAGCGUGGGGAGCAAACAGGAUUAGAUACCCGAGUAGUC
rnacentral:rRNA from 1 species